UACGUAGGGGGCUAGCGUUGUCCGGAAUCAUUGGGCGUAAAGAGCGUGUAGGCGGCUCGGUAAGUCCGCUGUGAAAGUCCAGGGCUCAACCCUGGAAUGCCAGUGGAAAUUGUCGAGCUAGAGUCCGGAAGAGGCGAGUGGAAUUCCUGGUGUAGCGGUGAAAUGCGCAGAUAUCAGGAGGAACACCAAUGGCGAAGGCAGCUCGCUGGGACGGUACUGACGCUGAGACGCGAAAGCGUGGGGAGCAAACAGG
rnacentral:rRNA from 1 species